CGUAGGAUGCAAGCGUUGUCCGGAUUUAUUGGGCGUAAAGAGUUCGUAGGCGGUUCGUUAAGUCUGGUGUUAAAGAUCGGGGCUCAACCCCGGGAGUGCACUGGAUACUGGCGGACUCGAGUAUGGUAGAGGCAAGUGGAAUUCCCAGUGUAGCGGUGAAAUGCGUAGAUAUUGGGAAGAACACCGGUGGCGCAAGCGACUUGCUGGGCCAUUACUGACGCUGAGGAACGAAAGCUAGGGGAGCGAAUGGGAUUAGAUACCCCAGUAGUCCUAGCCGUAAACGAUGGAUACUAGGCGUAUCGGGUAUCGACCCUGAUGUGCCGCAGCUAACGCGAUAAGUAUCCCGCCUGAGUAGUACGGCCGCAAGGUUG
rnacentral:rRNA from 1 species